UUGGAGGGCAAGUCUGGUGCCAGCAGCCGCGGUAAUUCCAGCUCCAAUAGCGUAUAUUAAAGUUGUUGCAGUUAAAAAGCUCGUAGUUGAAUUUCGGGGUUAGCAGGUUAGUCGUGCCACUGGUAUGUACUGGCCUUGCUGAUUCCUCCCUCUUGAUGAGCCGUAAUGCCAUUAAUUUGGUGUUGCGAGGAAUCAGGACUGUUACUUUGAAAAAAUUAGAGUGUUUAAAGCAGGCAAGCGCUUGAAUACAUUAGCAUGGAAUAAUGAAAUAGGACGUUUGAUCUUAUUUUGUUGGUUUCUAAGAUUGACGUAAUGAUUAAUAGGGAUAGUUGGGGGCAUUAGUAUUCAAUUGUCAGAGGUGAAAUUCUUGGAUUUAUUGAAGACUAACUACUGCGAAAGCAUUUGCCAAGGAUGUUUUCAUUAAUCAAGAACGAAAGUUAGGGGAUCGAAGACGAUCAGAUACCGUCGUAGUCUUAACCAUAAACUAUGCCGACUAGGGAUCGGAUGAUGUUAAUUUUUUAAUGACUCAUUCGGCACCUUACGGGAAAC
rnacentral:rRNA from 1 species